rnacentral:rRNA from 1 species
GAUGAACGCUGGCGGCGUGCCUAAUACAUGCAAGUCGAGCGAACAGACGCGGAGCUUGCUCCUCUGACGUUAGCGGCGGACGGGUGAGUAACACGUGGAUAACCUACCUAUAAGACUGGGAUAACUUCGGGAAACCGGAGCUAAUACCGGAUAAUAUCUUGAACCGCAUGGUUCAAUAGUGAAAGACGGUUUUGCUGUCACUUAUAGAUGGAUCCGCGCCGCAUUAGCUAGUUGGUAAGGUAACGGCUUACCAAGGCAACGAUGCGUAGCCGACCUGAGAGGGUGAUCGGCCACACUGGAACUGAGACACGGUCCAGACUCCUACGGGAGGCAGCAGUAGGGAAUCGUCCGCAAUGGGCGGAAGCCUGACGGAGCAACGCCGCGGGAGUGAUGAAGGUCUUCGGAUCGUAAAACUCUGUUAUUAGGGAAGAACAAAUGUGUAAGUAACUAGGCACGUCUUGACGGUACCUAAUCAGAAAGCCACGGCUAACUACGUG